rnacentral:rRNA from 1 species
UACGUAGGGUGCAAGCGUUGUCCGGAAUUAUUGGGCGUAAAGAGCUCGUAGGCGGUCUGUCGCGUCGGCUGUGAAAACCCGGGGCUCAACCCCGGGCCUGCAGUCGAUACGGGCAGACUAGAGUGCGGUAGGGGAGACUGGAAUUCCUGGUGUAGCGGUGAAAUGCGCAGAUAUCGGGAAGAACACCUGUGGCGAAGGCGGCCGGCUGGGGGUGCCCUGACGCUGAGGCGCGAAAGCGUGGGGAGCGAACCGG